rnacentral:tRNA from 1 species
GGAAGGGUGCUGGAGCGGCUUAACAGGCACGCCUGGAGAGCGUGUAGGCGGGGUAACCUGCCUCGUGGGUUCAAAUCCCACCCCUUCCGCCA